GGGAACACUGGGAAAAUAGGGUUCGUGGGUGGUUUGCGGGUGGUUCGUGGGUUACUCGUUGUACGAGAUUAUCGUGAUCUAACAGUGGUUUUCGCGUGGAAAGCUUUGACGAAGGUGGUUACAUGUGAAACAUGUGUCGUGUUGAGGUUAAUAUAUAUUCGUUUUCGUUUUUGUUGAAUGUUGCAUGGACGACUGUUUCCCUAUUACUUUUGAUGUGGUCCCCCAUGUUUGAAGUGGUGAUGUGGUCCCCCAUGUUUGAAGUUCUGUCGGAGUGUGUUUUUGAAGCAUGUUCUGUCGGAGUGUGGUCCCCCAUUUUGUUGUGCUUUUAAAUUUGUUUAAGUUUUCU
rnacentral:lncRNA from 1 species